AGAACGAACGCUGGCGGCAGGCUUAACACAUGCAAGUCGAACGCUGUAGCAAUACAGUGUGGCAGACGGGUGAGUAACGCGUGGGAACGUGCCCUUCGGUUCGGAAUAACUCAGGGAAACUUGAGCUAAUACCGGAUACGUGCGAGAGCAGAAAGAUUUAUCGCCGAAGGAUCGGCCCGCGUCCGAUUAGCUAGUUGGUGAGGUAAUGGCUCACCAAGGCGACGAUCGGUAGCUGGUCUGAGGGGAUGAUCAGCCACAUUGGGACUGAGACACGGCCCAAACUCCUACGGGAGGCAGCAGUGGGGAAUAUUGGACAAUGGGCGCAAGCCUGAUCCAGCCAUGCCGCGAGUGAUGAAGGCCUUAGGGUUGUAAAGCUCUUUCGCCAGGGACGAUAAUGACGGUACCUGGAUAAGAAGCCCCGGCUAACUUCGUGCCAGCAGCCGCGGUAAUACGAAGGGGGCUAGCGUUGUUCGGAUUUACUGGGCGUAAAGCGCACGUAGGCGGAUCUUUAAGUCAGGGGUGAAAUCCCGAGGCUCAACCUCGGAACUGCCUUUGGUACUGGAGGUCUCGAGUCCGGGAGAGGUGAGUGGAACUGCGAGUGUAGAGGUGAAAUUCGUAGAUAUUCGCAAGAACACCAGUGGCGAAGGCGGCUCACUGGCCCGGUACUGACGCUGAGGUGCGAAAGCGUGGGGAGCAAACAGGAUUAGAUACCCUGGUAGUCCACGCCGUAAACGAUGGAUGCUAGCCGUUGGGGAGCUUGCUCUUCAGUGGCGCAGCUAACGCUUUAGGCAUCCCGCCUGGGGAGUACGGUCGCAAGAUUAAA
rnacentral:rRNA from 1 species